UCGGAACUCGCGGCGGGGCUGCUGGGUCUUCCAGGAGCGCGCUUGAGCGGACGCUGCCUACCGGUGGCCGGGCGGGAUGUAACCCGCUGCUGAGCUGGCAGCUCUGUGUCGCUAGGCUUCGGCCCGGCCGCCGCCGCACAUAAGCUGCGAGGAGGAGCUUUACGACUUCCCGGUCUUCGGGGCCGGGCGCAGCAAGGGCCAGACUCUGCGCUAGCAGGCGCUGCGCGCCAACCGGCCGGCACCUGUCGCAGAAGGUGCAACCGAUCGCACUGUCGCGCCGAAGCUCCUCAAUGGCCAGCGCCAGCUGCAGCCCCGGCCGCCCACUCGCCUCACCUGAGCCUGGGCGAAUCUGGAUUGGGAAAGUUGACAUUAAUCAACUCAUUAUUCCUCCCAGAUUUGUAUUCUCCAGAGUAUCCGGGUCCUUCUCAGAGAAUUAAAAAGCCUGUACAGGUCUAGAUAUUGGUAUUUUUAAUUGAUGAUAAGCUGGAAUAAUAUUAAUACACACAAAGCACGUGUUGUAACUUUUAUUAUGCUUCCUUAGAGGAGCUUGAAAAAUCACAUUUGAGAAGAGGAUUGGAUCCUAGCCAUAACAUAAAUAUAAGGGU
ensembl:lncRNA novel transcript